rnacentral:lncRNA from 1 species
GACAUGGUGCACAUGGAUUUAAUGGGUUUUAUGAAGGUGAUGUUGAUGCAGAGGAGAUAUUUAGAAACUUUUUCUUCGGUGGAAUGGCGCCUACGACAACACAUUUCCGUACUUUCAAUUUUGGUACUGGAAUGGGAAACAGGACAGCUGAUCAGGGCUCAGGUGGUGGUUUUAGAACUCUGAUUCAAUUGCUUCCUGUGCUGUUAAUAUUGCUUUUGAACUUCUUGCCAUCCUCAGAACCUAUAUAUGCUCUUUCCCGUUCCUACCCUUAUGAAUUCCAGUUUACCACUCAAAAGGGUGUCAAUUUUUUUGUGAAAUCAACAAAUUUUGAGGAAAAGUAUCCACCUGGUAGCCCGGAUCGUAUAGCAAUUGAUCGUCACAUAGAGAGGGAUUAUUUUAACAUUCUUGCUCAGAAUUGUCG